CGGGGUGUAGUACAGUGGUAGUAUACGCGCUUCGGGAGUGUGAGGCCCGAGUUCGAUUCUCGGCACCCCGA
rnacentral:tRNA from 1 species